UAAGACGCGCGAGCAGCGUUCUCUCUCUUGUUCUUUACGCCAUCUUGUUGACUUCCACUGCGCCAUGAGGGCCAAGUGGAGGAAGAAGCGAAUGCGUAGGCUGAAACGCAAGAGGAGAAAGAUGAGGCAGAGGUCCAAGUAACCAGAAUGCUGACCACCUGCCACAGCAGCAGACAUCGGAAUGACCCUUUUCAGCAAGGCAGGAACCUUCGAGAGACAUCAGCCACGCCACGGAGGGCUGCCGGUACCAUCUGAUAGAGGCCUCACCACCAUCCUCGAGGACCCCCUCCAGAGCCGAAGGACGAGCCACUUUUCCUGCGAAUUCCACCUUGCCUGCCUCUUGAUUGGGUGCCUUUUGGGACUCUUGUCGUUCCGGACUGAUGUGUUUUGUGGCUGAGUGUAUAGCGCCUGUAUAAUAAAUCCUCAGUACUUUCUUGGUCGAAAA